GAACGCUAGCUACAGGCUUAACACAUGCAAGUCGAGGGGCAUCAGGAAGAAAGCUUGCUUUCUUUGCUGGCGACCGGCGCACGGGUGAGUAACACGUAUCCAACCUGCCCUUUACUCGGGGAUAGCCUUUCGAAAGAAAGAUUAAUACCCGAUGGCAUAAUGAUUCCGCAUGGUUUCAUUAUUAAAGGAUUCCGGUAAAGGAUGGGGAUGCGUUCCAUUAGGUUGUUGGUGAGGUAACGGCUCACCAAGCCUUCGAUGGAUAGGGGUUCUGAGAGGAAGGUCCCCCACAUUGGAACUGAGACACGGUCCAAACUCCUACGGGAGGCAGCAGUGAGGAAUAUUGGUCAAUGGGCGCUAGCCUGAACCAGCCAAGUAGCGUGAAGGAUGAAGGCUCUAUGGGUCGUAAACUUCUUUUAUAUAAGAAUAAAGUGCAGUAUGUAUACUGUUUUGUAUGUAUUAUAUGAAUAAGGAUCGGCUAACUCCGUGCCAGCAGCCGCGGUAAUACGGAGGAUCCGAGCGUUAUCCGGAUUUAUUGGGUUUAAAGGGAGCGUAGGUGGACUGGUAAGUCAGUUGUGAAAGUUUGCGGCUCAACCGUAAAAUUGCAGUUGAUACUGUCAGUCUUGAGUACAGUAGAGGUGGGCGGAAUUCGUGGUGUAGCGGUGAAAUGCUUAGAUAUCACGAAGAACUCCGAUUGCGAAGGCAGCUCACUGGACUGCAACUGACACUGAUGCUCGAAAGUGUGGGUAUCAAACAGGAUUAGAUACCCUGGUAGUCCACACAGUAAACGAUGAAUACUCGCUGUUUGCGAUAUACAGUAAGCGGCCAAGCGAAAGCAUUAAGUAUUCCACCUGGGGAGUACGCCGGCAACGGUGAAACUCAAAGGAAUUGACGGGGGCCCGCACAAGCGGAGGAACAUGUGGUUUAAUUCGAUGAUACGCGAGGAACCUUACCCGGGCUUAAAUUGCAGUGGAAUGAUGUGGAAACAUGUCAGUGAGCAAUCACCGCUGUGAAGGUGCUGCAUGGUUGUCGUCAGCUCGUGCCGUGAGGUGUCGGCUUAAGUGCCAUAACGAGCGCAACCCUUAUCUUUAGUUACUAACAGGUUAUGCUGAGGACUCUAGAGAGACUGCCGUCGUAAGAUGUGAGGAAGGUGGGGAUGACGUCAAAUCAGCACGGCCCUUACGUCCGGGGCUACACACGUGUUACAAUGGGGGGUACAGAAGGCAGCUAGCGGGUGACCGUAUGCUAAUCCCAAAAGCCUCUCUCAGUUCGGAUCGAAGUCUGCAACCCGACUUCGUGAAGCUGGAUUCGCUAGUAAUCGCGCAUCAGCCACGGCGCGGUGAAUACGUUCCCGGGCCUUGUACACACCGCCCGUCAAGCCAUGGGAGCCGGGGGUACCUGAAGUACGUAACCGCAAGGAUCGUCCUAGGGUAAAACUGGUGACUGGGGCUAAG
rnacentral:rRNA from 1 species